UCUGCUGAAAUGAUCUUGUGGAAAUAGGAAGACGGAAGAAGAAAACCUUUAAGUAGCCUGUAGCAGUCUGUACAUUGUUACAAACAGAAGGAAAGUGCACAAUCAGAAAUAUGACUUAGAGGUAAAAUAUAUUGGGCAUGUUCUUGAUUACUUCUGACCAUUCAACACGUCCUCUGCUGGUAGCAAUUACACUAACUGCCACCUCCAAAGCGGAAACCAGUAUCGACAGUUAGGAAUGUGGCUAACUGUGGAAGUAAGAAAAGGAAGAAGCUGGAGAUAUUCCUGAGCAGUAUUUCUACACCACUUCCAAAAGCUAUCCUUAUAGCUUUGGAGACAGUGAACAAGGUGGCUUUUGGUCAGAGUAAAUAAGUGGGCUGGGCCAGAAAACAGCACCAAGCCUCAGCUCAGCAAGGCUCUCCAAGUUGUAUUGCAAGAAUGACCAAGUCCUAUGGAAGCAGAUUCACACUGAUAGUCUUCUCUGGAGCCUUCACCUUGGACAACCAUUCAGAAAUCUGGAUGAAUCAUGUUACUAGUGCUAAGCACUGAAUCAUGCACCUACCAAAUCUGUCAGCAACAAAAUUUAUAGGUAAAAAUAUGUUGGUACACCUCUUUAAAAUGUUGGCAGCAUUUUAUCAGGCGGCCACAUGGACAGUAGGACACCUCAACUUCUGUCUCCUGAUGGAGAUGACGUGCAUAGUAUGGCCAAAGCUUUCCAAGAAGUAAAACUGUCCUAUUUUAGCAUAAAGAGGGGACACAUUUCUUCAUAAUGCCCUACUUAGACUCUAUGAGAGUCAUUAAAAAACAUUUGUUGAACAGCUGUCUCUAGAAAGAAGAGUACUCUACUGAAAUGUAUUUCUUAAAUUGAUACAGAUUUCAGUGGAUUGUUGCUUGGAGUUAUUUUUGGAGAAAAAAGUUUUCAGACUGAAAAAAUUAUGGCUGCAAAAUACACUUUGUUUUUCUUCAAAAAGAGGUU